GCCGCCCGGGCGCCCUGGUCCCAACAGCGCACGGGGAAGCGUGGUCGGCAGUGAGACUCGGCUAGAGCCAAGAUCAACCGCCCCGGCCGCCCCUCGGCCUCCCUAGGCUCCCAUCUAGCCCCCGACACCCGGAGAAAAACGUGCAAAGGCGCAGAGAGGGACGGAAACCACAAAUAAAUAGCGGCGGCAGCAGCGCGUCAUCUGGUGGAGCAGGAAGUGCAGGCAGAGUCCGGAGGCUGGUGCUUUCUGCGCGUCCCCAGGACUUUGCCAUGGGCUGGGGGCCGAGGAGGCUGCGAACAGCCGGGCAAGGGCAGCGGCAGUGGCGCCCGCACCGGGGCUGAGCGAGCAGAAACGCGCGGGGCGCGGGGAGAUGGCAGCGUCCAGCAACUCUAGCCUGUCUGGCUCCUCGGUAUCCUCCGGUAAG
rnacentral:lncRNA from 1 species